GACAGAGGGUGCAACCGUUGUUCGGAAUUACUGGGCGUAAAGCGCGUGUAGGCGGCUCGAUAAGUCGGAUGUGAAAGCCCUGGGCUCAACCUAGGAAGUGCAUUCGAAACUGCUGAGCUUGAGUUCUGGAGAGGAAGGCGGAAUUCUCGGUGUAGAGGUGAAAUUCGUAGAUAUCGAGAGGAACACCGGUGGCGAAGGCGGCCUUCUGGACAGCAACUGACGCUGAGACGCGAAAGCGUGGGGAGCAAACAGG
rnacentral:rRNA from 1 species